UCCAGGCGGCCCGGGUGUCUGGAGCGGGGGUCCGUGACGGAGAAUGAGAAUUUUCUUCACCAGAACAUGGAGACUGUUCCAUCACCAGGAGCACAAAGUUUUCAUUGUUGGGCUGGAUAAUGCAGGGAAAACUACCAUUCUUUACCAAUUUUCUAUGAAUGAAGUUGUACAUACAUCUCCUGCAAGAGGAAGUCAUGUAGAAGAGUUAGUGAUUAAUAAUACACAUUUUCUAACGUGGGAUAUUGGUGGCCAAGAAUCUCGUCGUUCUUCGUGAAACACCUACUAUACUAACACAGAGUUUGUAAUAGUUGUUGUGGACAGUACAGAGAGGAUUUCUGUAACUAGAGAAGAACUCUAAAAUGUUAGCGCAUGAAGACCUAAGAAAAGCUGGUUUGCUUGAGUUUUGUUAAUAAAUGAAAUGUUAAAGAAUGCAUGACUGUAGCAGAAAUCGGCCAGUUUUUGAAGCUACCUUCUAUUAAAGAUCACCAGUGGCAUAUCCAGGCAUGCUGUGCUCUAACUGGCGAGGGAUUGUGCCAAAGACUUGAAUGGAUGAUGUCACCACUUUAGAUUAGAUGAUCUCUACUGACCUCAUAGAUUUUGUAUAAAUGAAGUGCUGGACUUUACCUGAAAGCUGCCAAAAUUAAUGGUUUAGAUAUAUUUAUAAUAAACAUUUAAACUUUUUCUGUAAGAAGAAAUAUUAAGACCACUUAUUUGAACAGAAAGAUGGAGAAGGAGGAGGGAGAAGAAAAAAUGCCCCAGCGACGGCGGCUGUUGGUUGUGCGGCGGCAGCGGCUCUCCCCCUGGCGGAGGAUGGACAGCCAGGACGGGAAGGAGGUGGUGUGCCGCAACGGCACCGGGUUUGUGAAGUGUGGAUGUGCAGGCUCUAACUUUCCAGAACACAUCUUCCCAGCUUUGGUUGGAAGACCUGUUAUCAGAUCAACCACCAAAGUGGGAAACAUUGAACAAGGAUCUUAUGGUUGGUGAUGAGGCAAGCGAAUUACGAUCAAUGUUAGAAGUUAACUAGCCUGUGGGAAAUGGCAUAGUACGAAAUUGGGAUGACAUGAAACACCUGCAGGACUACACGCUUGGACCAGAGAAACUUAAUAUAGAUACCAGAAAUUGUAAAAUCUUGCUCACAGAACCUCCUAUAAACCCAACCAAAUACACAGAGAAGAUUAUAGAGGUAAUGAUUGAGAUUUAGCAGUUUUCCAGUGGGUAUGCAGCCAUCCAGACCGUUCUGACUUUGUACACGCCAAGUUUAUUGACUGGUGUAGCCGUAGACUCUGGAGAUGGUGUGACUCAUAUUUGCCCAGUAUAUGAAGGCUUUUCUCUCCCUCAUCUUACCAGGAGACUGGAUAUUGCUGGGAGGGAUAUAACUAGAAGCGUGUUGCUUCUAUUGCGAGGAUACGCCUUCAACCACCCUGCUGAUUUUGAAACGGUUCACAUGAUUAAAGAAAAACUCUGUUACUUGGGAUAUAAUAUUGAGCAAGAGCAGAAACUGGCCUUAGAAACCAAAGUAUUAGUUGAAUCUUAUACACUCCCAGAUGGACAUAUCUUCAAAGUUGGGGGAGAGAGAUUUGAAGCACGAGAAAUUUUAUUUCAGCCUUACUUGAUCAAUGUUGAAGGAGCUGGUGUUGCUGAAUUGCUUUUUAACACAAUUCAGGCAGCUGACACUGAUACCAAAUCUGAAUCCUACAAAUACAUUGUGCUUUCUGGAGGGUCUGCUAUGUAUCGUGGCCUGCCUUCACCGUUGGAACGAGAACUUAAACAGCUUUACUUAGAAGGAGUUUUAAAGGGUGUUGUGGAAAAACUUUCUAAAUUUGAGAUCAGCAUUGGAGACCCACCCAGCAGAAAGCACAUGGUAUUCCUGGGUGGUGCAGUUCUAGCAGAUACCAUGAAAGACAAAGACAACUUUUGGAUGACCCGACAAGAGUACCAGGAAAAGGGUGCCCGUGUGCUGGAGAAACUUGGUGUGACUGUUCGAAAACUCCAAAGCUUGUUCCCAACAUACCCAUAAUGCUUUCUUUUUUCCUUUAUUGCCAAUCUUUGAACUCAUUCAACUCUGGGACAUGGAAGAGGCCUCUCUCUGCCUUUUGACUGGAAAGGUCAAGUUUUAUUCUGGUGUCUUGGGGAAGCUUUGUUAAAUUUUUGUUAAUGUGGGUAAAUCUGAAUUUAAUUCAACUGCUUCCCUACAUAGACAAGAGGGCUAAGGGUCUUGUCUGCUGCUUUGUUUCUUCUAAGUAGGCAUUUAGAUCAUUCCUGUAGGCUUCCUAUUUUCACUUUACUACUCUAAGGCUGCUAGUUGUAAUCUUUAGCACACUAGGUGGUAUGCCUUUAUUAGUGUAAGAAAAAAACUUUAACAGGAGCUUUUACAUGUUACUGAGAUGGGGGGCGGUUCGGGAUGGGUGGGCAGCUGCUGAACCCUGUAGAGCAUUUCCUCUGUAGUGUGGCGCUUUCAACUGUACUGCUGCGGCUUUAAUUACCUGAAAGCUUCUCCUGUGAACAUCUUAGGGAAAUGUUAGGUUCAAAAUGAAAGUGUUUUGGGUAGUUUUUGUUGGGAUGGGGGGGUAACAGUGAGUGGUCUUCUGAGUUUUAUUUUUGAGGUUUUCUCUCUGGAGUACAUAGAGGAACUUUAUUUACAGUAGUUUGAUUUGGCAGGUUUUCUUCUACUUGUGCUCUGCCUGGAGCUGUUUCCAUAUGAUAUAAAAAGCACAAGUGUAGUAUUUAUGUGUUUUUUAAAAUCAACUGUGUUAGCUGGGACUAGACUCCCUACAAUGUAUCAGUGGAAAAGUAACAUUUAAAAAUCAUUUUGGGCCGGGCGCGGUGGCUCACGCCUGUAAUCCCAGCACUUUGGGAGGCCGAGACGGGCGGAUCACGAGGUCAGGAGAUCGAGACCAUCCUGGCUAACACGGUGAAACCCCGUCUCUACUAAAAAAUACAAAAAACUAGCCGGGCGAGGUGGCGGGUGCCUGUAGUCCCAGCUACUCGGGAGGCUGAGGCAGGAGAAUGGCGUAAACCCGGGAGGUGGGGCUUGCGGUGAGCUGAGAUCCGGCCACUGUACUCCAGCCUGGGCGACACAGCGAGACUCCGUCUCAAAAAAAAAAAAAAAAAAAGUGCUUACGAUCUGGUGUUUUUUUAAUGCUUCUGUUUAUUCCAGAAGCAUUAAGGUGACCCAUUGCCAAGUGUCAUUCUUGCAAAUUACUCUUUUAUGUAACUGACCAGUGCUUAAUAAAAGAAGCAGGUACUUACAAAUAAUUACUGGCAGUAGGUUAUAAUUGGUUUAAAAAUAACAUUGGGAUAUGGGACUUGUUGCUAGUUGGGUAAUUUUCAUUAGUUUUUUUGUUUUGAUUUGAAAACCGAAAGUAGAGUAAAAUUUGACUGUUUAAAAUGUUGGCCCCCCCAAAAAAAUCAAGAUUUAAAUUUUUUAUUUGUACUCAAAAACUAAUCAUAACUGUUAAUUCUCAGCCAUCUUUGAAGUUUGAAAGAAGAGUCUUUGGUAUUUUGUAAAUGUUAGCAGACUUCCCUGCCAGUGUCAGAAAAUCCUAUUUAUGAAUCCUGUAGGUAUUCCUUGGUAUCUGAAAAAAAUAUCAAAUAGUACCCAUAUAUGAGUUAUUUCUAAGUUUGAAGAAUAAAAAGAAAUUGUAUCACACCACAAAAUACAGGUUCUGGAAAAAAAUAUUUUUCUUCAUUUUAAAACUUUUGUUAACUAAUAAUGGUUUUGAAGGAAGAGUCUUAAUUUGGGGGUGACUAAAAUCAAAGACAUUAUUGACUUGAGGGGCCUCUGUUUUGUAAGAAUACAUAAUUAGCUUAAAUAAGCGGUAAAAGGUUAGUUUUAAUUGUGUAGCUUUUGUUAAUAUUGUCUUUUUUGUCUGUUUUACCUCAAUAUGAACAGAUAAGUUUGCCUGCAUGUUGGAGAUGCCUUGGAACACAUGAAUAACCCGUACUAGAUCUUGGGAAUGUGGAUUUUAGAGUCACUUUGGAAUAAGUUCUUAUAUAAAUACCCCCGGCAUUUUGAGAAUGGGGCUUGUUAAAGGACGCAUAUGUAGGGCCAGUACCUACUGGCAGUUGGGUUCAGGGAAAUGGGAUUGACUUGGCCUUUGGUCCUUUGAUCAUAAUUUUAAAAUAUGGGAGUAGAAAACAACAAAUAAUGGAAUGGACUCCUAAAACAAAGCAUUUAUCAUUUGUCCCUUGAAUGUAGAAUUUGUUUUUGAUUUAAUAAUUCUGGUAAAUGUGACAGUUAAAAUGGUGUAUUAUGUAUAUAUAUAUUGUAAUUUAGAAAUUCCAUUUUAUAAUGUUACUAUUCCAAGGUGAAAUAAUGCAUUUGAAUUUGGGAUUUGGGUGGAGUAUUAGGUUUAACUGGAGUUGUUGUCAAGUAUGAAUCCCCUAGGGAAAAAAAAGUUCUGUUUUAAAAAGCAAUCUGAUUCUUAGCUCUUGAAACUAUUGUUAAAUUUCCAGUAAUUACAAAUUAUAAAUUUUUAAAUUACAAUUGCCAGUACUUUGACCUUGGAGAAGGGUUUCUUAG